UGCGUCUUGGAAGAGUGUUGCCAUCGUAUACGCUAAAAGCUGAUUGGCUCCGCCAUCUUUUGCUCAGAUUUCCGGAUUAAUUUGGAAGGGGUAAACAGAUGAUCAGUUGUUUAUUUUUCGUUUACUCUGGUUUAACCUCACUUAACUAGAUAGAUCGAGAAAUAUUAAAUUACUAUUACUAUUAUUCCGGUUGAAAAAUGCCUUCCUCUAAGGUAAAAGGUUGCGAAGUCGAUUGGGGAAAAAUAAUGUGAAAAUGAAUUCUUUCCCAAAAGAAUCUGAACGACGGAAAGUGUGGAUUAAAAAUAUAGGGUUAAAACAAGAUCCAAACAAAUAUGCUGUUGUUUGUGAAAAAAACUGUAAAUAGUAUUUAAGGCAACGAUUGUGAAUGAGUGAGAAGUCUAAUAAAGCGACGACAAGAUACUGUAUUAGAGCGUACGAUUUGGAGGUAUUUUUGAUUAGAUAAAUUUUGUAAAGUACAAUAUAAAUUAGAUUUGAUAAUGUGUAGUAUUUCCUAAUAAGUUAAAUACUAUUAAGUGUUUAUUGUUCUUGUAAGUUAGUGUGGUAAAUAAAUAAUAUGAAGUAAG